UGGGGAAUAUUGCACAAUGGGGGGAAACCCUGAUGCAGCGACGCCGCGUGAACGAAGAAGUAUUUCGGUAUGUAAAGUUCUAUCAGCAGGGAAGAUAAUGACGGUACCUGACUAAGAAGCACCGGCUAAAUACGUGCCAGCAGCCGCGGUAAUACGUAUGGAGCAAGCGUUAUCCGGAUUUACUGGGUGUAAAGGGAGUGUAGGCGGCUUUGCAAGUCAGAUGUGAAAGCCCGGGGCUCAACCCCGGGACUGCAUUUGAAGCUGUGAAGCUGGAGUGUCGGAGAGGUAAGUGGAAUUCCUAGUGUAGCGGUGAAAUGCGUAGAUAUUAGGAAGAACACCAGUGGCGAAGGCGGCUUUCUGGACUGUAACUGACACUGAGGCUCGAAAGCGUGGGGAGCGAACAGGAUUAGAUACCCUGGUAGU
rnacentral:rRNA from 1 species